rnacentral:rRNA from 1 species
UACAGAGGGUGCGAGCGUUAAUCGGAAUUACUGGGCGUAAAGCGUGCGUAGACGGUUAUUUAAGUCGGGUGUGAAAGCCCCGGGCUCAACCUGGGAAUUGCAUUCGAGACUGAAUAGCUAGGGUACGGUAGAGGGAAGUGGAAUUUCCGGUGUAGCGGUGAAAUGCGUAGAUAUCGGAAGGAACAUCAGUGGCGAAAGCAGCCCCCUGGGAUAACACUGACGCUCAUGCACGAAAGCGUGGGGAGCAAACAGG